GUAGGGUGCGAGCGUUAAUCGGAAUUACUGGGGCGUAAAGCGUGCGCAGGCGGUCUGUUAAGACAGAUGUGAAAUCCCCCGGGGCUCAACCUGGGAACUGCAUUUGUGACUGGCAGGCUAGAGUAUGGCAGAGGGGGGUAGAAUUCCACGUGUAGCAGUGAAAUGCGUAGAGAUGUGGAGGAAUACCGAUGGCGAAGGCAGCCCCCUGGGCCAAUACUGACGCUCAUGCACGAAAGCGUGGGGAGCAAACAGGAUUAGAUACCCUGGUAGUCCACGCCCUAAACGAUGUCAACUAGUUGUUGGGGAUUCAUUUCCUUAGUAACGUAGCUAACGCGUGAAGUUGACCGCCUGGGGAGUACGGUCGCAAGAUUA
rnacentral:rRNA from 1 species